rnacentral:rRNA from 1 species
GACGAACGCUGGCGGCGUGCUUAACACAUGCAAGUCGAACGGAAAGGCCCUGCUUUUGUGGGGUGCUCGAGUGGCGAACGGGUGAGUAACACGUGAGUAACCUGCCCUUGACUUUGGGAUAACUUCAGGAAACUGGGGCUAAUACCGGAUAGGAGCUCCUGCUGCAUGGUGGGGGUUGGAAAGUUUCGGCGGUUGGGGAUGGACUCGCGGCUUAUCAGCUUGUUGGUGGGGUAGUGGCUUACCAAGGCUUUGACGGGUAGCCGGUCUGAGAGGGUGACCGGCCACAUCGGGACUGAGAUACGGCCCAGACUCCUACGGGAGGCAGCAGUGGGGAAUAGUGAACAAUGGGCGGAAGCCUGAUGCAGCAACGCCGCGUGCGGGAUGACGGCCUUCGGGUUGUAAACCGCUUUCGCCUGUGACGAAGCGUGAGUGACGGUAAUGGGUAAAGAAGCACCGGCUAACUACGUG